AAGAGCCGUGAACCAGACAACACAAAUUUAACAACGAGGGAAGUGAGGAAGUUAUGUGAAGGAAAUCCAACUGUUUCAAAGUGAAUUCCCAAAAGGAAGUGAAGUUCACCAUGGGUCUCCCAUUGGCUGAUGAGGACCAGGACAGACAGGGCCAUAGUGAAGAAAAUGGUCAAGCUCGCCCAUUAUCAGGGAUCGAGUUCAAUCAAAUUAUUUCUGACCGACUACAGAGGACCCAUAAUGACGGUCGACGAAACUCUCUACCUCCAGGUAUCCUGGAACAUAUUGAUGUCAAAAGUGUAUGUGGCCAAAUACUACGUUUCAUGGGUGACGAACACUUUUCUAAAACUUGUGGCCGACACCUAAGGUGUAUGGGGGAUGAAAUUUCUCAUCUGUACUGGCUGAAGAAAACUGUGAUGGGUUCGCAACAAAAUGUAUCAGACCAAUUGCAUGAACACACAAUUUCACACAACUCGCAUUCAUUGCCUGAUUUACGAACCAUGAAGGUAGAACAAGAAGAAAAUUCGAGGAAUGGUAAUUAAAUUUAAUAUAGCAUAUGUGAUACAUUGGUAUAUGAUAAGAGAAGCUAAUGCUUCAAGGAAUAUUUAUUUCAAAUUAUUUAAUAGAAAUGUUUAUAGAGAAUAUUGUACAGCAAAUCAUCAGAUGAUUUCACAGUUUUAUAUACAGUAAAGUUAUAAAAGCUAAUGCACAACAGUGAUAAUUAUUCUAUUCCAAGUUCUAAGAACUUGAAAUAAAAUAAUCAAAUUUAUAAUGCUUGAAUGUUGGCAGAAGGAUGUAAUGUGUGUGUAUUAAUAGUUGUCAAUACAGUAUAGUCUGUGUGUGGUUUUACUGUGUAUUACUGGUACAGGUCACAAUUAAUUUUCUUGCGGGUAACUCCUUAUACAUAUGAUAAAGUAUAUUGUGUAGCCAACCUAAAUGAAAAUAAUUUGUGACCUAGAGAUCAUUUAAUUUUCAUGGCUGUCAUUAACGCAUGUCUCUGUUUAUAUCUGAUUAAAUGUAUAUGUAUGAAACAUCGUACUUAUAGAUUACCAGUAUCAGUACCACAUGAUCAGGGAUAAACAUAUGAUUACUUACCUGUUACUUACUAGGUGUAAAACUAACAUUCCACCCUGUCUUGGAUUUUCCUGUUGUUUUUGUCCUUGUUAACUUACUGGUCAGUUAUUUUUAUCAUAACUAGGUUGUUUUGUUUUUCUUUUAUUUGAAGUCUGCAAUAUGAAAUAUCUAUUUCUAUUAAUGUUAAAGAAUACAGCAUAUUUUUGAAUGGUUGUUGAUUGUAAAUUAUAAAUUUUUGGAUUAGGUUGUUAUUAUUUUUAAUCAAAUAGGGCAUGAGAUUUAAACUCUGUACAGCUUUGGUGUUUUAGACAUCUAUUUAUCUAUUUAUUAAGUUGCUGAUGAUAUUUAGAAUAUAAUCAAGUAUUGAUUUCCCCUAUAACUGAUUAUUUAUCUUAAUACUCACAUUUUAUAUACCCUAAGUUUAGACUUCCGCUCAUGAUGUAAACUGUCCCAACAUAAUGACGGGAAUUGAUUUACGAUCAGAGAGGUUUUUUUUUAGAUGUACACCUGUUCAUUUGAAUACCAGAGAUGAUACAAACAUUUAUCCUGGAGAAGCCCAGGGUGCUAUCAUAACUCAGUCAUGGGGUGGGCUUAUUACUGGACAAUAAGAUAACAUUUGAUUGUAAUUUAAUGUUUGGAAUAUUUCUUACAUGAAUUCAUUACUGGAUAAAUGGAGGGGGAAAAAACCAUCAUCAUUUUUGUCAAGUGAUGAAGAAGUGUGUUAUUAAGAUUAAAUUGAUUUUAAAAUGUUGGCUGAAGAACGGUCUAGAUAAGGAAUAUUUAUCAGAGAAGGACUGUUUAUGCAGAUCCUUAAUCUAGUGCCAUGUUAUAGUGUUUGGUGGUACAGAAUAAUUGUGUUACAUAGAGGUGUUAGACUCUUGUUUAGCAGUUAUGAUACUGAACCACUGUAAUAGGUUUAGGAUUUUCAUGUUGAACCACUGUUAUAGGGUUAGAACCUUGUUUAACAGUAUGGUACUGAACCACUGUAAUAGGGUUAGGACCUUGUUUAACAGUAUGAUACUGAACCACUGUAAUAGGGUUAGAACCUUGUUUAACAGUAUGGUACUGAACCACUGUAAUAGGGUUAGAACCUUGUUUAACAGUAUGGUACUGAACCACUGUAAUAGGGUUAGGACCUUGUUUAACAGUAUGAUACUGAACCACUGUAAUAGGAUUAGAACCUUGUUUAGCAGUAUGAUACUGAACCACUGUAAUAGGUUUAGGACCUUGUUUAGUAGUGUAUGAUACUGAACAUAUGUAAUGCUGUAAUUACAGAUGCUGGUUUUGUUUAAUCAAUAAAAGCAUCUAUCAUG